AUGCCGCCCGAGCAGCCAUGUCUGCCCGCCCGCACCCGAGCCGCGCAAUCCGCCCAAGAUCAACACGCCUCCCACCGCCAGGGCCGCCGCCCUGCAUCCAGACCGUCCUGGAAUCAUCAAAGGAGCAAGCUUUGGCCAGUGCAAACCCCAACCAUCGCCGAAAACUGCAACGACCGUCCCGCCUCAGAGCACCGAGUCAGCAACCAACAAGCACGGCGACGGGCGGCUCGACCUCGUCGAAGCCCCCAUCCUACUGGCCUUCCCACCCGAAGCACUCUGCUUCGCCCCACCACGGCCAUUGGCACCAACUAG
rnacentral:rRNA from 1 species